CAACGGUGUCGCGGAUCGGAGUGGCAGUGCCUCGUCCGCACUUGCCAGAGCGGCCCUCAUGGCGCUGCUCCGACGCCCGACGGUGUCCAGUGAUUUGAAGAAUAUUGACACAGGAGUUAAUCCUAAAGCUAAGAGCCAUGUGACUGUCCGGCGAGCUGUUUUAGAAGAAAUUGGAAAUAAAGUUAGAGCCAGACCGGCUCAAGUGGCUAAGAAUACCAAAGUACCAGUCCAGCCCACCAAAGCAAUAAAUGCCAGCAAACAGCCGAAACCUACAGCUUCUGUGAAACCAGUGCAGAUGGAGACACUGGCCCCGAAGGAUCCUCUGCCUGCCCCUGAGGAUGUCUCCAUGAAGGAAGAGAGCCUCUGCCAAGCUUUCUCUGAUGCUUUGCUCUGCAAGAUUGAGGACAUAGAUAAUGAGGACGGGGAGAACCCUCAGCUCUGCAGUGACUACGUGAAGGACAUCUACCAGUACCUCAGGCAGCUUGAGGCUUUGCAGUCCAUCAAUCCACAUUUCUUAGAUGGAAGAGACAUAAACGGACGCAUGCGUGCCAUCCUGGUGGACUGGCUGGUCCAAGUCCAUUCCAAGUUUAGGCUUCUGCAGGAGACUCUGUACAUGUGCAUUGCUAUCAUGGACCGGUUCCUUCAGG
rnacentral:lncRNA from 1 species